AGUGAACGCUGGCGGUAGGCCUAACACAUGCAAGUCGAACGGCAGCACAGUAAGAGCUUGCUCUUACGGGUGGCGAGUGGCGGACGGGUGAGGAAUACAUCGGAAUCUACUUUUUCGUGGGGGAUAACGUAGGGAAACUUACGCUAAUACCGCAUACGACCUACGGGUGGAAGCAGGGGAUCUUCGGACCUUGCGCGAUUGAAUGAGCCGAUGUCGGAUUAGCUAGUUGGCGGGGUAAAGGCCCACCAAGGCGACGACCCGUAGCUGGUCUGAGAGGAUGAUCAGCCACACUGGAACUGAGACACGGUCCAGACUCCUACGGGAGGCAGCAGUGGGGAAUAUUGGACAAUGGGCGCAAGCCUGAUCCAGCCAUACCGCGUGGGUGAAGAAGGCCUUCGGGUUGUAAAGCCCUUUUGUUGGGAAAGAAAAGCAGCAGGUUAAUACCCCGCUGUUCUGACGGUACCCAAAGAAUAAGCACCGGCUAACUUCGUG
rnacentral:rRNA from 1 species